CUUUAUUGUAUCACUGUAUAUAGUUUUUUUAUAAUUUUUAUAUAAUUAGUAAAAAAUUAAAAAUAAAUUGUUACCAUAGCAACGCACAAACAACAAUUAGAUAAUCAAAUUGAGGUUAGGAAAUGUGUGAUGAUCUUUUAGGCAAUAAAAGUGUAAUUUAAAGUAA